rnacentral:misc_RNA from 1 species
UUCAGGAUCAACCAGGUAGCAUUCCUCAGGGACAUCGAGCCGCGGGACGUGGAACAUCCACGCGACAUCGAGCGUCUAUCGAAUGGGGCGUGUAAUGCCGAUUUGUGGGCAAAUAUGGAGGUCGGAGACCCCUUACCCGCAGUGUUUUCCGCAUCCCGAAAGUAUUGCUUCAAUCGUGGGCCGCGAAUGCAUAGCAUUUCGUAUGCAAAUCGGAACACGAAUUUCGCUUCGAGGCUCUCCCGCAGCCGCACCGUGUGAACGAGCAGCAUUAGAAGAGCUUCGUAAAGAUUGCCCGCACAAUUCCAUCGAUGAAGGUAUGCAGCACAGGAAACCAGCGACUCGGCCAAGGCAUAAAAUGCUCUUGUGCCAACAACUGAAAAUGAGAGCACGAAGGGACGUCCCUACCCGAGUAGGGAUCCAA